GCAUUAUAUUAAAAGUAUAAUGUAAUUUUUUUUGCUGCGGCAGGUUAUCCAUAGUAUAACCUAACGGUUAUACGGGUAGCAAGAGGCAGGUUACACUUGUCUCUUUUUGUGAGCCAUUUAUUGGCAUAAAGAUCCACAUAGUAUGCAGAUAAUGACUAUUUAUUGUGUGAAAGUCUUGACCAAAACACGUGCCAGCAGUCGCGGCAACACGGGACAGACGAGUGUUAUUCAUCUUUAAUAGGUUUAAAGGGUACCUAGACGGCAAUUUUAACCUCCACCGGGUUGGAAAGGUAAAUUUUUGCUAGAGUUUUAUGUGAGAGGAAUUUAGUACUAUCAGAGUAGAGAUAAAAUUUUUUGAUACUGUAGGGAACUGAUAACGGCGAAGGCAAACCUCUAUUUGGAAACUGACGUUGAGGGACGAAGGCUUGGGUAACAAACAGGAUUAGAUACCCUAAUAGUCCAAGCAGACAAUGAUGAAUGCCAUAGAUUAGAUUUUUUUGAUCUAUAAAUGAAAGAGUAAGCAUUUCACCUUAAGAGUAAUAUCGCAAGAUUGGAACUAAAAUCAUUAGACCGUUUCUUGAUACCAGUGAUGAAGUAUGUUGUUUAAUUCGAUGAUCCACGAAAAAUCUUACCACAAUUUGAAUAUUAUAGCAACUUUAGGAAAGUCCUGAGAGGGAUGUAAGUGUUAUUAAUACAGGUGUUGCAUGGCUGUCUUUAGUUUAUGUCGUGAGGCUAGGGUUAAUUCCCACACAAUAAACGCAAACCUUGAUUUCAUUUUAUAAAAGUAUAAUGAAGUUUUUAUUUGUCUGAACAUG
rnacentral:rRNA from 1 species